ensembl:lncRNA
CUGCUGGGGUGCUGGGUAAGGAGGCAGGGCAGGGUCGCUCCAGGGCAGGAUCAUUCUGUAGAUCCAGAUCCUUCUGAGGUGGCUUCGUUAAUCAAAGAGAAUGAACUUGCCAGAGACAAGAGAACAGUGCUGCAGCCAAGCAAAGAACAGUAGCUGUGCUUCUAAACUAGACUCUCCAAAGAGCCCAUGAACAUUUUCUAGACCAGCAUCCCAUCUCAUUCAGCCCUUCCUCCCUCUCAGAGUUUCCAGAUGUUUUACCAUCCUGAGGUCCAGCAUUAGCCAAUGGUCUUAAAAGGGACGCCUAGCAAAGAAAGGAAUAUGGGAGGUAUGGUCUGGUAGGGUGCCCUUUUCUGGGCAGUGUACUUCUGGAUGGUUGGAUGUUGAGACACUCACCUAUCUCCUAACUAUACUUUAACAUUUCCUGAACAUCUUUUGAAAAUCAUUAUUUUCAUGAUGUACAUUAUGUAAAAUAGUACAACCACUUUGGAAAACAAUUUGGCAUAGUAAAGCUGACCCAGCAAUUCCAUUUUCAGGUAUAUUCUCUAUAGAAUCUCUUGCAAAUACACAUGUAAAACAAUGUACAUAGUAACACUGUCUACAAAAGCAACAAAAACAAACAAAUGAACAAACAAAACUGGAAAUAGGUCAAAUGUCCACUGCCGGUUGGA